rnacentral:rRNA from 1 species
UACGGGGGGAGCAAGCGUUGUUCGGAUUUACUGGGCGUAAAGGGCGCGUAGGCGGCACGGCAAGUCAGGAGUGAAAGCCCUGGGCUCAACCCGGGAACUGCUUUUGAAACUGCCGAGCUAGAGUGCGGAAGGGGCAACUGGAAUUCCCAGUGUAGCGGUGAAAUGCGUAGAUAUUGGGAAGAACACCUGAGGCGAAGGCGGGUUGCUGGGCCGACACUGACGCUGAGGCGCGAAAGCCAGGGGGAGCGAACGGG